GGCGGGCGGGCGAUCAGGAGGACGGGGGCGGGGGUUAGUGGGGAGGGGUGGAGGCCCACGAUGUAGCAGCAGACAUAUAGAGUUUUCGUUCUGUUCGCGGUGCGGUAUAAUGGCAACGUGUUUUCGUCUAAUGUACUUUUUGUGAUGUCCUUGAUGGAGGAGUCUGCGAAUGCAGAACAGGCAGGGCUGGCCCCACCGGGCUGGCCAAUGUAUGCUAGAGGGAGAUGGAAAAAAAGACAUACACAGAGAAAGAGAGAGAGAGAGAGAGAGAGAGAGAAGGAUGAAAAGUGGUGGGGAGAACGACUAAGAAGUCUCAGCACCUCAACCCACCUCAACUUUAGGCCUAGUCAAGUUAAAGAAAGGAUAAAGAAGAGGGGGAAGGACCAAGAAAUAGUGGUCACUCGUCCCACAAGAUCGAGCUUGAUCCUUCGAGAGUAAGUCCGAGUUUGCAGCAAGGAUACAUCUCGGAAUGUUCGGCGAUAAUGAUCUACGUUCGAGAGAAGAGGGUAUUUCGAAGAGAGGACGUAGGCGAGACGAAGGGUCCAUAGAAAGAGAGAGACAGAGAGAGAGAGAGAGAGAGAGAGAGAAAGAUAGAGAGAGUAAAGAACCGAGAUGGAAGUUGGUUAAUCCGAGAAGCCGAGGUGAAGCGAGCUGAGGGCAUGCUAGUACCAAAUGAGAUUGGGAAGCGGCCUGUGUCCAGGACUACUUUGGAGUGUCCUUCUUGCCUCUGGCUUCUCUCUUUUGCGUUUGUUACCAACCAACCAACCAACCCCAGCAGCAAUCUGGUCUCUGAAUUUGUCUCUAAGAUAUCAACAGAGAGAAACGCGGAAUCUUAAAAACCAAAAGGAUUCUAAAAUAUAUAGCAAUGAGAUUAUUUAAAAUAUCCUAAACAAACUGCGUGCGUCGUGAGAGCGCAUUAAUUGAAGGAUGCCCGACGCACAUCUGCGUUCUACCUCGUGCGUGAUACCGAAGUCAGCGCCAAAAGCAUAUAUAGAAGACACGAAACGAAACGAAACGAAACGAAACGAAAAGGAAGGAAAGAAGUGGAAGGAAGGACGAAAGGAAGAAAGGACGGAAGGAAAGAAGGAAGGAAAGAAGGAAGGAAGGAAGGAAGGAAGGAAGGACGGAAGGAAGGAAGGAAGGAAGGAAGGAACGAUUGUGAAGUCGAUGCAAGUCGACUCGACGACGUUUGCAGCUGCAGGUACCGAAAAGCCAGUGCAAACGGUUUCAAUUGUCUGCAACAUGGCUGCCGCUGCUCGACUAGGUCUCAUAGUCGUUAUCCUUGAAAGACCCGUGUGCUGCACCUCUUUCGUUUUGUUUUAACGCACGAGGGAGAGUGCGCACGCGCGUGCAUGCCAGAGAGUUAGAAU